UAGGGAAUCUUCGGCAAUGGACGAAAGUCUGACCGAGCAACGCCGCGUGAGUGAAGAAGGUUUUCGGAUCGUAAAACUCUGUUGUUAGAGAAGAACAAGGACGUUAGUAACUGAACGUCCCCUGACGGUAUCUAACCAGAAAGCCACGGCUAACUACCUGCCAGCAGCCGCUGUAAUACGUAGGUGGCAAGCGUUGUCCGGAUUUAUUUGGCGUAAAGCGAGCGCUGGCGGUUUCUUAAGUCUGAUGUGAAAGCCCCCGGCUCAACCGGGGAGGGUCAUUGGAAACUGGGAGACAUGAGUGCAGAAGAGGAGAGUGGAAUUCCAUGUGUGGCGGUAAAAUGCGUAGAUAUAUGGAGGAACACCAGUAGCGAAGGCGGCUCUCUGGUCUGUAACUGACGCUGAGGCUCGAAAGCGUGGGGAGCAAACAGG
rnacentral:rRNA from 1 species